GUCAACACCUUCAGUUGAUCCUCUGAGUUUGUGUUUGUGUGUUGGUUUUGUUUAUUCUAAGAGUUUGUGUUUAUUAAGAGUUUGUCAUGUGCCCAUUGUUCUUUACACCACUCCUCUUCUCUCUGUUACUGCCACGAUCUUUUUGAUACAUUUAAACUAUAUUUCAACCGUUACCUUUCACAACCCAAAGACCCAUUCUGUUAGUUUUGUUGCAGUGUUUUGUUCCCCAACUGCAGCUCCUGUGUACCAGGGUUUAAUUUUUUAGGGGAGAAAAGUAACAGUUGGUGGCUCAUCUGGGAUAUGAAUGAAAUAAACCUGUAUUUUGUGGGGGGGGGUCUCUCAAGUUGAAAUAGUUUGAAUACAGCACAAAACAUGGAGUUAACUGGAGUCAUUUAUGGAGAUCUGACACUGAAUUCAUGCAAAAAGGCAGACCUCAUGCAAAUAGCUCACCAGUUGGGCAUUACUGUGUCAUCAGGUGAAGAUGCAAUAAAACAUGCUGGGGUCCCUGGGCUGUUGGAAAAACACAUCCUCGUCCAUGAUUCUGAACCUAAAUCAGAGAGAGAUUCUGAAGAGGGUGGCACUGAUCUUGUUAGUGAAAUGAGGUUAAAACUAGCUCAAGCAAAUUAAGUUUUGUGAGCAAAUGAGAAUGCGGUUGACAUUCCAGGAAAGGCAAAGUGAAAAGGAGAAGGCCAUUUGUUUGAAAUAGCUGAAACUUGAAGAGCUCUGUAUCAACAGUUUAUGCCAAAAGACUUUAAUCUAGCAGACUGUCAUCAUUUAAUGAAAAAGAGGUGGAUGAGUAUUUCUUCGAGCGAGUUUCUGACAGAGGAGUUCAGGCCAUUGCUACUUCAAACUGUGCAACUGGGGAAAGGAGGUUUGAUUUCCUUGUUGUUCGUUUGUUUUUCAGGGGUUCAACACCUUCAGUUCAUCCUCAGAGUUUGUGUUCUUGGUUUUCUGUUGUCAGUUUGUUGUUUGCCCAUUUGAUUUCCCCUGCCCCCUUUCUCUGUGGCUAUCUCUGCUGGAUUUCUCAGAGAAUGUAUCCUGAUGAACAUAUUGUCAACACUGAUGCUACGACCUGCCAUCAAUACUCAUCCUCUCCCUUCAAGACGCCCAAAUAAGCCUCCUUAUUACCAGCACAACCCUGUUUACUCUUUGCUCUUCCAAUGUGCACAGUGGCCGACGCACACAGUGAUGAGCCGUGCGUGUCCGCAGCAGACUCUGGAUUAAUUAGAGCCGCCCCUAUCUAUCCACGCUCAUCUCCAACGCUUAGGAAGACACAGCGAGUGAAGACGAGCAGCAGAAAGAGACAUGACUGGAGGAUCUCUUUUAGAGCCACACAUCUGAUUCUACAGCUCCUUGAGCACAUUGGGCUCAGGCAAGAA